UACGAAGGGGGCUAGCGUUGCUCGGAAUUACUGGGCGUAAAGGGCGCGUAGGCGGACAGUUUAGUCAGAGGUGAAAGCCCAGGGCUCAACCUUGGAAAUGCCUUCGAUACUGGCUGUCUUGAGUUCGGGAGAGGUGAGUGGAAUGCCGAGUGUAGAGGUGAAAUUCGUAGAUAUUCGGCGGAACACCAGUGGCGAAGGCGACUCACUGGCUCAUUACUGACGCUCAGGCGCGAUAGCGUGGGGAUCAAACAGG
rnacentral:rRNA from 1 species